UGUGGGAGCGAGCCUGCUCGCGAUAGCGUUAUAUCAGUGAAAGAAGUGCUACCUGAUAACCGCUAUCGCGAGCAGGCUCGCUCCCACA
rnacentral:misc_RNA from 1 species